GUCCAUUUUUGUUGAAUUAAGUCAUGUAGACAAAAAUAAUAGGGAUAAAGGAAUUGAUGUACUUUAUAAGUACAUAAAAGAAAAUAAUAAAAAGUUAAACUCUAAGAAAAUAUUAUAUCUUUGUAAAGGACUUUUUUAUUAUUAUUGGCUUUGUUAUUCUAUGGAAGAACAAAAAAAGGCAUCAUUAAAAAUAUGUAAAUUAAUAUAUCAAUUUGAUGAUGAAAAGGAGGAUAAUAAAGAAAAAGUAUUUCUAUUUUUUAGAUGUUUUGUUACUAUUAUGGCAAAAAAGUAUGACGAUUUAGAUAUUCAUAGAUUGAAUAAAUUUUUAUUUUUAUUUCGAGUAUUCCAAGCUGAAUAUUUUAUGUUUUUAAAUAAAUAUUCAUGGGCUAUUAAAUAUAUUAAAAUAUAUAAUAAAAUGUUUUUAAAAGCAUUUGAUGAUAGUAAUGAAUUAUUUUACACCUAUAUAGAUACAUUUUUUAAGGAAUUUUUUGAAAAUGAAAAAUUUUUGAAAUUAAAAGGCAAACAAAACAACUAUAAUACAAAGCAAUUUUUGUUGUUGGUUGAUCCGUUUUUUCAAAUUAUUUGUACUACAGAUAAUUUUUAUAUUAUAAACAUUAUAAACCAAAAAAUUUUCUCUAUUAUAUCAAAAAUGAAAGCUAUAGAUAAAAAUAUGUUAUUAAAAAAAAUUAACAAAUAUAUGUUAAAGUGUAGAAAUAAACAUAGUUCAAAGGUUUUACAUGAAUAUUAUUUGUUGUUAUUUAAUAAAAAUAAAAAUAAAAAUAAUAGUGGCAUUAGUGACAGUGAUAAUAAAAUCACAAUCCAAACAAAUGCGCCAAUUUUUAUAGAAAAUGAUAAUCAACUUAGUAAUAAUGAUAAUACUAAAAAUAAUAGUAACAAGAAUAAUAAAGAAAUAUCACUAGUAAAUAGAAGCAUGGGAGAGGUUUUAACAAGAUUAAAAUGUAAAAUAGAAAAUGUAACAAGAGAUAGUAGUGACGACAAUGGAAAAAGCAUAUUUGACAUUAGUACUUAUGGUUUAGAUAGUAAUAUAGAUGAUGCUAAUAUCUGUAGUAGCAUAUAUGAAAAAAAAAAUAAGAUAGUGAAGAAAAAAAAACAGGUAAAAGAUGGAAAAAAUGGAAAAAGGGAAUCCGAUUGUGUCAUUUUUAUUAACAAAAGCAUGAAUAAAAAAUGUAAAAAAACUUUAGAUAAAAAAAAAAGGAAAAAAAAAAAAAGUAAUACAAAUGAAAACGCUGAAAAUGACAAUGAUAAAAAUAAUUUAAGUAUCUUAGGUGACGUUAUAAAAGGUGAAAAUAAAAAAUUGCAAUGUGAUAAUAGUAGUAAGUCUAAGAAAAAAUGUAAAAAAAAAUUACAUGCAGAGACUAUAAAUAAUACUGUUUUAAGUGUUCCUUUAAUACAUGAAGAAAAAAAACUUAAAAAAAUAAUGAAAAGCAAGCCAUUAGCAGGAACAAUAAUAAAAAAAAAACAAAAAAAAACUACCCUUUUACAAAUUAGGGAAUCACCACCCAUUGAAGAAAAUGAUAUAAUAAAUAAGAACGUGUAUACAAUAGAUUAUGAUGGUGUUAAUAAAACAGCCAACGAUAGUAAUAACUGCAGUAAUGACUGCAGUAAUAAUAGCAGUAAUAAUGGCAAUAAUAAUGGCAAUAAUAAUGGCAGUAAUAACGACAGCAAUGACAAUAGUAAUGAUAAUAUUAAUGAUAAUAUUAAUAAUAAUAGUAAUAAUAAUAAUAAUAAUAAUAAUAAUAAUAAUAAUAAUAUUAAUAAUAAUAGUAAUAAUAAUAAUAAUAAUGUUGACGGUAAAUCAAUUAUACUAAAGAUAAACGUGAAUAAAAGUGAAAUAAUAAAUUUAAAGGAAACCGAAGAAAAUAACAAGAAAGCAGCUGAAUUGGUAAUAAAUGGAAAUAGAAAAACAAAAAAAAAAAAUGAUAAUAUAAAAGAUCGUAAAAUAUAUAUAAACUCAAUAAAAAAGUUAAAUACUAAAAAAAAAACAAAAAACAAUCGUGCUACUGCAGUUAAGAAAACUAUUUUAAAGCGAGGAUUAACAAAAACUCCUAUAAAAAAAAGAGUGCAUUUUAACUUAGAGAAAAACACAGUUGAAUAUAUACCAGUUGUUAAAAAUAAAAAUAAGAAUGCACCACGUUUAUUUAUUAAUAAAUUUCAAAGAAUGUUGAAUUUUACUUCCCUUAUUUGGAACAAAAAUUAUCAAUUAAUAGAAGACUCUAAUACUGUGUGAUAAAGAAAUAUAAUUUUAUAAUAACACAUAUAUAUAUAUAUAUAUAUAUAUGUAUAAUAUAAUAUGCUGUUUUCAUAAACAACUUUUUUGAAAUAUAC
rnacentral:lncRNA from 1 species